ACCGGGUCUAGUCGACUACAAAUUUGGAUAUAAUCAUCCUAGCAAAGUUUCUACAUGAUUCUGAUAUGAAAUGCAGUUCCGCAAGUUCGCGAAUUUACGCAGAAUAAAUACAUGAAACUACAUCCAAACAUUAUUAGACAUGGAUAGAAGAUUUCUUAAAGUUUUAUCAUUAGGUAUUUCUAUCUCUUUUCAGGGAUUGCGCGAGUCCCAGAAUUUAAUUCAUUUUCCAGUUCAUCAAAUUCCCAGCCACCAAUCUCUUCUGCAGUGAAAUCCUGGUUAAUGUUUCCAGACUCGGAUUCCAAUUUCGCCAACUCUGCUUCAUACAUUUGCUCAGCACUCGUAGCUGCUGGUUUCUUUUCCUCCUUUGCGCCAGCUGCAGGGGCUUCUAUUGUCCUCGCAGGACUUGAUACAUUUUCCGGCACUUUAUUGGGUGCAGCGUUAGACACAUUCUCUGCUUUGGUAGAAGGUGGUUUGUUUUCCUCAUUCAUCCCAGUUUCAGGGGCUUCUGUUGCCUUCCUUGCGGGAUCUGAUUUAUUUUCAUCAGGAAUAUUAUGAGAUGAAGCAUCUCCCUCUUGGGUGGGGGCAUCCGGGAUCUCCAUUUCCAGUUCCGGUCUCUCAAUAGAUUCAAAUUCUUCUCGUAAUUUUUCAAUGUUCUCAAACAGCCCUUUAAUCUUUGGAUCAUCUUUCCUGGAUACUUUCCCGUGUUGAGCAUAGAACUGCUCCAUCAUGUUGUCGACUACGCUAAAGGUGGUUAUAAUCUUGGCUUCAUAGUCCAGGUACUCCAACUCCAGACUUUUCCUAGGGCUCAAUGCUUUUGAUUCACCUGAAGACAGACCAGCUUCUUUUGCUGAGCCUUCACCUAAACUCUUCAAAUUUUCCACAUAUUUUCUAAUACGGUCAAUUGAAGGCCUCAACUCUUUCUCGUAAUCAGAGAGAAGUUGCAAGACCAAGUUCACAAAAUAAUCCUCAUGCUUUUCCAAUUCAACUUUGGCCUCCUUGUCUUUGGUCUCUGUAUAGGAAGACUGAAGAACCCAAGCAUCCUCCAAAAAUUUGAUCCAUGAACUAACGACGUGUUCUUCCACUCUACAUGAGCCAAUGGUCUUAGAUAGCUCGCCUUCUCUAGUUUUUAAAUGAGCAACAAUCUGAUCAUUAGCGUCAUAGAAUUGGUCCCUCUCUUCUCGGGCAUUAUGAAGGCGUGCACUAGCUGCUGCCAAGGAGAUAUUGACCUGCUUCAGUUGAGCUUCAAUUUCAUUCCUUUGUUUCUCAAGAGCUGAGAUCUCAGCUGCUAAUUCCUUUUCUAUUUCACCCACUUCACUGGUCUUGGCAACACGAAAUUUUAGUGCCUCCUCUUUCUGAAUUCUGUCAUCUGAGAUCUCCUUUUCAGCUUUGUUGGCGGAUCUAACAAGAGAUUCGGAUAGGAGUUUCAACUUAUCAACCUUUUGAGAAUGGACUUCCGGAGAGUCCCCGUAUUUAAGAGAUUUUUUCUUCAGUAGAAGCCCUUCUAAUCUGGAACAGACCCGAAUAUGAGCAAGUGCUACUUUCAGUGCCUCUAUUGAAGCCGCAGUCUCUUCGGAUAUUGUUUCAUGAUCCCCACUUGCGUCCUUUACUGCUUUUAUUUCAUCAAGUUGUUUAUUCAAUGUAGAGACUUCGGCAUCAAUUCUUCCGAGAUCUGCAUUAGAUUUCAACCCUGUGAUGGCACUUUCUGCGAACUGCAAUAGCUCCUCACGUUUUACCAAUACUUCGUCUUGGUAGUUUGAGAAAGCAUUUGACAAAUCUUGGAUGCUGCUGAUUAUUGCACUGUGA
rnacentral:misc_RNA from 1 species